UGCCAGCCGCCGCGGUAAUACGGAGGGUGCAAGCGUUGUUCGGAAUUAUUGGGCGUAAAGCGCGUGUAGGCGGUUCGUUAAGUCUGAUGUGAAAGCCCGGGGCUCAACCCCGGAAGUGCAUUGGAAACUGGCGAACUUGAGUACGGGAGAGGAAAGUGGAAUUCCGAGUGUAGGGGUGAAAUCCGUAGAUAUCGGGAGGAAUACCAGUGGCGAAGGCGGCCUUCUGGACGAUGACUGACGCUCAGACGCGAAAGCGUGGGUAGCAAACAGGAUUAGAUA
rnacentral:rRNA from 1 species